rnacentral:rRNA from 1 species
CAGUAGCCACGGUAAUACGUAGGUGGCGAGCGUUGUCCGGAAUCAUUGGGCGUAAAGGGAGCGCAGGCGGGCAUGUAAGUCUUUCUUAAAAGUGCGGGGCUCAACCCCGUGAUGGGAAAGAAACUACAUGUCUUGAGUACAGGAGAGGAAAGCGGAAUUCCCAGUGUAGCGGUGAAAUGCGUAGAUAUUGGGAGGAACACCAGUGGCGAAGGCGGCUUUCUGGACUGCAACUGACGCUGAGGCUCGAAAGCCAGGGGAGCGAACGGGAUUAGAUACCCCUGUAGUCCCUGUCUCUUAUACA